AGUGCAUGUGGUGGAUGCCUUGGCAGUCAGAGGCGAUGAAAGACGUGAUAGCCUGCGAAAAGCUCCGGGGAGGCGGCAAAUAUCCUUUGAUCCGGAGAUGUCUGAAUGGGGGAACCCACCUACUUUAAGGUAGGUAUUGCAACAUGAAUACAUAGUGUUGCAAGGCGAACGAGGGGAAGUGAAACAUCUCAGUACCCUUAGGAAAAGAAAUCAAUUGAGAUUCCCUCAGUAGCGGCGAGCGAACGGGGAUCAGCCCAUUAAGUUAUGUGUGUUUUAGUGGAACGCUCUGGGAAGUGCGAACGUAGAGGGUGAUAUUCCCGUACACGAAAGGGCACACAUAAUGAUGACGAGUAGGGCGAGGCACGUGAAACCUUGUCUGAAUAUGGGGGGACCAUCCUCCAAGGCUAAAUACUCCUGACUGACCGAUAGUGAACCAGUACCGUGAGGGAAAGGCGAAAAGAACCCCUGUGAGGGGAGUGAAAUAGAUCCUGAAACCGCAUGCAUACAAGCAGUGGGAGCACCUUCGUGGUGUGACUGCGUACCUUUUGUAUAAUGGGUCAGCGACUUAUAUUCAGUAGCGAGGUUAACCGUAUAGGGGAGCCGUAGAGAAAUCGAGUCUUAAUAGGGCGUUUAGUUGCUGGGUAUAGACCCGAAACCAGGCGAUCUAUCCAUGAGCAGGUUGAAGGUUGGGUAACACUAACUGGAGGACCGAACCCACUGUCGUUGAAAAGCCAGGGGAUGACUUGUGGAUAGGGGUGAAAGGCUAAUCAAGCCUGGUGAUAGCUGGUUCUCCCCGAAAGCUAUUUAGGUAGCGCCUCGGACGAAUACCAUAGGGGGUAGAGCACUGUUUCGGCUAGGGGGUCAUCCCGACUUACCAAACCGAUGCAAACUCCGAAUACCUAUGAGUACUAUCCGGGAGACAGACUGCGGGUGCUAACGUCCGUAGUCAAGAGGAAAACAAUCCAGACCGCCAGCUAAGGCCCCAAAAUCAUAGUUAAGUGGGAAACGAUGUGGGAAGGCAUAGACAGCUAGGAGGUUGGCUUAGAAGCAGCCACCCUUUAAAGAAAGCGUAAUAGCUCACUAGUCGAGUCGGCCUGCGCGGAAGAUGUAACGGGGCUAAAACUAUGUGCCGAAGCUGCGGAUGUAUACUUUGUAUACGUGGUAGGGGAGCGUUCUGUAAGCCGAUGAAGGUGUGUUGAGAAGCAUGCUGGAGGUAUCAGAAGUGCGAAUGCUGACGUGAGUAACGACAAAACGGGUGAAAAACCCGUUCGCCGAAAGACCAAGGGUUCCAGUCCAACGUUAAUCGGGGCUGGGUGAGUCGACCCCUAAGGCGAGGCCGAAAGGCGUAGUCGAUGGGAAAAUGGUUAAUAUUCCAUUACUUCUGUGUAAUGCGAUGAGAGGACGGAGAAGGCUAAAUCAGCCUGGCGUUGGUUGUCCAGGUGAAAGGAUGUAGGCAUGUAUCUUAGGCAAAUCCGGGGUACUCUAUGCUGAGAUCUGAUAGCAAGCUGUACUUGUACAGCGAAGUGGUUGAUGCCAUGCUUCCAGGAAAAGUCUCUAAGCUUCAGUUACACAGGAAUCGUACCCGAAACCGACACAGGUGGUCAGGUCGAGUAGACCAAGGCGCUUGAGAGAACUCUGCUGAAGGAACUAGGCAAAAUGGUACCGUAACUUCGGGAGAAGGUACGCUGUUGUUGGUGAUGGAACUCGCUUCCUGAGCUGACGACAGCCGCAGAAACCAGGCCGCUGCAACUGUUUAUUAAAAACAUAGCACUCUGCAAACACGAAAGUGGACGUAUAGGGUGUGAUGCCUGCCCGGUGCUGGAAGGUUAAUUGAUGGGGUUAGCGUAAGCGAAGCUCUUGAUCGAAGCCCCAGUAAACGGCGGCCGUAACUAUAACGGUCCUAAGGUAGCGAAAUUCCUUGUCGGGUAAGUUCCGACCUGCACGAAUGGCAUAAUGAUGGCGGCGCUGUCUCCAGCAGAGGCUCAGUGAAAUCGAAAUCGCUGUGAAGAUGCAGUGUACCCGCGGCUAGACGGAAAGACCCCGUGAACCUUUACUGCAGCUUGACACUGAACUUUGACCUUACUUGUGUAGGAUAGGUGGGAGGCUUUGAAGCUGGAACGCUAGUUCCAGUGGAGCCGUCCUUGAAAUACCACCCUGGUAAUGUUGAGGUUCUAACUCUGUCCCGUGAUCCGGGACGAGGACCGUGUCUGGUGGGUAGUUUGACUGGGGCGGUCUCCUCCUAAAGAGUAACGGAGGAGUACGAAGGUGCGCUCAGCGUGGUCGGAAAUCACGCGUAGAGUAUAAAGGCAAAAGCGCGCUUAACUGCGAGACCCACAAGUCGAGCAGGUACGAAAGUAGGUCUUAGUGAUCCGGUGGUUCUGUAUGGAAGGGCCAUCGCUCAACGGAUAAAAGGUACUCUGGGGAUAACAGGCUGAUACCGCCCAAGAGUUCAUAUCGACGGCGGUGUUUGGCACCUCGAUGUCGGCUCAUCUCAUCCUGGGGCUGAAGCAGGUCCCAAGGGUAUGGCUGUUCGCCAUUUAAAGAGGUACGCGAGCUGGGUUUAGAACGUCGUGAGACAGUUCGGUCCCUAUCUACCGUGGGCGCUGGAAAUUUGAGAGGAUCUGCUCCUAGUACGAGAGGACCAGAGUGGACGAACCUCUGGUGUACCGGUUGUGACGCCAGUCGCAUCGCCGGGUAGCUAUGUUCGGAAGGGAUAACCGCUGAAAGCAUCUAAGCGGGAAGCCUACCUCAAGAUAAGAUUUCCCUAGGACUUUAU
rnacentral:rRNA from 2 species